rnacentral:rRNA from 1 species
UUGAAACAAACUUGCUUUGGCGGUGGGCCCAGCCUGCCGCCAGAGGUCUAAACUUACAACCAAUUUUUUAUCAACUUGUCACACCAGAUUAUUACUAAUAGUCAAAACUUUCAACAACGGAUCUCUUGGUUCUCGCAUCGAUGAAGAACGCAGCGAAAUGCGAUACGUAAUAUGAAUUGCAGAUAUUCGUGAAUCAUCGAAUCUUUGAACGCACAUUGCGCCCUCUGGUAUUCCGGAGGGCAUGCCUGUUUGAGCGUCGUUUCUCCCUCAAACCGCUGGGUUUGGUGUUGAGCAAUACGACUUGGGUUUGCUUGAAAGACGGUAGUGGUAAGGCGGGAUCGCUUUGACAAUGGCUUAGGUCUAACCAAAAACAUUGCUUGCGGCGGUAACGUCUACCACGUAUAUCUUCAAACUUUGACCUCAAAUCAGGUAGGACUACCCGCUGAACUUAAGCAUAUCAAUAA